CAGUCGCCGCGGUAAUACGAAGGGGGCUAGCGUUGCUCGGAAUUACUGGGCGUAAAGGGCGCGUAGGCGGACAGUUCAGUCGGGGGUGAAAGCCCGGAGCUCAACCUCGGAAUUGCCUUCGAUACUGGCUGUCUUGAGUAUGAGAGAGGUGUGUGGAACUCCGAGUGUAGAGGUGAAAUUCGUAGAUAUUCGGAAGAACACCAGUGGCGAAGGCGACACACUGGCUCAUUACUGACGCUGAGGCGCGAAAGCGUGGGGAGCGAACAGGAUUAGAUACCCGUGUAGUCCCUGUCUCUUAUAC
rnacentral:rRNA from 1 species